CCCGACGAACACGCCAGCCAUCUUAAACAAACGCAACUCGAUCACUCUUUUGAUCUUCAAAAACGUCCAACACAAGGACGAAAGCGCGCGACAACAAAAAUCCGAAAUUUUGGUUUAGCACUCCAGUUGGCUUAAAAAUUGCCUCUGAGAAGAUGCUCGAUUCGUACCAUACAAGUCAUAUAAGCCGAGAACCUAUCGCGGACUUUAAAUCGGUGCGAGUCAGGAAGAAAUCGCAACAGGAAAAACGAUAGACGGCUAGUCACCGCACAAACCUUAACCGAAAGUAAACCUAGGUAUUGCCCUAAACCCAACGCUCUGGUCUCAAACAUCUCAAGACAUGAUAUCUAAAAGAUACGAGAUCCUAAACCAUAUCUCUCCGUUCGCAUCUCAAUGUUCCCGAAAAUCGUAAAGAUAAUUAAUUUUUUACGAAAAUCACGAACGAACUAACAGAUUGAACGUCUCAUCGGAAUUAAAUAUGAGACGACAACUCAUAUUUACUUCGACCCUACUCAGGAAAACUCAAAAUAAACAUCCAUCAUAUAUAUAAAACCGCGUAAAGCGGUAGGGGAUU
rnacentral:lncRNA from 1 species